GCCUUAGUGGUGCAGUUGUCUGCAUGCUCGACGCGUAAUCGGGAGGGCCGUGGUUCGAUUCCCGGUGAAGGCG
rfam:Stegodyphus mimosarum contig4919, whole genome shotgun sequence.